rnacentral:rRNA from 1 species
AUUGAACGCUGGCGGCAGGCUUAACACAUGCAAGUCGAGCGAGUGGCGGACGGGUGAGUAAUGUCUGGUAAACUGCCUGAUGGAGGGGGAUCACUACUGGAAACGGUAGCUAAUACCGCAUACCAUCAGAUUUGCCCAGCUGGGAUUAGCUAGUUGGUGGGGUAUUGGCUAACCUGGGCGACGAUCCUUAGCUGGUCGGAGAGGAUGACCAGCCAAACGGGAACGGAGACACGGUCCAGACCCCGACGGGGGGCAGCAGUGGGGAAUAUUGGACAAGGGGCGCAAUCCUGAUGCAGCCAUGCCGCGUGUGUGAAGAAGGCCUUCGGGUUUUAAAGCACUUUCAGCGAGGAGGCGUUACUCGCAGAAGAAGCACCGGCUAACUCCGUGCCAGCAGCCGCGGUAAUUC